rnacentral:rRNA from 1 species
AGUGAACGCUGGCGGCAGGCCUAACACAUGCAAGUCGAACGGCAGCACAGUAAGAGCUUGCUCUUACGGGUGGCGAGUGGCGGACGGGUGAGGAAUACAUCGGAAUCUACUUUUUCGUGGGGGAUAACGUAGGGAAACUUACGCUAAUACCGCAUACGACCUACGGGUGAAAGCAGGGGAACUUCGGACCUUGCGCGAUUGAAUGAGCCGAUGUCGGAUUAGCUAGUUGGCGGGGUAAAGGCCCACCAAGGCGACGAUCCGUAGCUGGUCUGAGAGGAUGAUCAGCCACACUGGAACUGAGACACGGUCCAGACUCCUACGGGAGGCAGCAGUGGGGAAUAUUGGACAAUGGGCGCAAGCCUGAUCCAGCCAUACCGCGUGGGUGAAGAAGGCCUUCGGGUUGUAAAGCCCUUUUGUUGGGAAAGAAAAGCAGCAGGUUAAUACCCCGCUGUUCUGACGGUACCCAAAGAAUAAGCACCGGCUAACUUCGUG